rnacentral:rRNA from 1 species
UACGUAGGGUGCAAGCGUUGUCCGGAAUUAUUGGGCGUAAAGAGCUCGUAGGCGGUUUGUCGCGUCUGCUGUGAAAUCCCGCGGCUCAACUGCGGGUCUGCAGUCGAUACGGGCAGGCUAGAGUUCGGUAGGGGAGACUGGAAUUCCUGGUGUAGCGGUGAAAUGCGCAGAUAUCAGGAGGAACACCGAUGGCGAAGGCAGGUCUCUGGGCCAUCACUGACGCUGAGGAGCGAAAGCGUGGGGAGCGAACAGG